GGCGGCAUGCCUUACACAUGCAAGUCGAACGGCAGCAUGGAAGAGCUUGCUCUUCUGAUGGCGAGUGGCGAACGGGUGAGUAAAGCAUCGGAACGUACCGUGUAGUGGGGGAUAACGUAGCGAAAGUUACGCUAAUACCGCAUACGCACUGAGGUGGAAAGCAGGGGAUCGCAAGACCUUGCGCUAUACGAGCGGCCGAUGUCAGAUUAGCUAGUUGGUAGGGUAAAGGCCUACCAAGGCGACGAUCUGUAGCGGGUCUGAGAGGAUGAUCCGCCACACUGGGACUGAGACACGGCCCAGACUCCUACGGGAGGCAGCAGUGGGGAAUUUUGGACAAUGGGCGAAAGCCUGAUCCAGCCAUGCCGCGUGAGUGAAGAAGGCCUUCGGGUUGUAAAGCUCUUUCGGCUGGGAAGAAAUCGCACAGGCUAAUACUCUGUGUGGAUGACGGUACCAGCACAAGAAGCACCGGCUAACUACGUG
rnacentral:rRNA from 1 species